CACAAAAGUAUGAUUGUAUGCGAGUUUAAAAUGAAGUAGUGUACCUUUAACGGUCCCUGAAGAGUCACUGGUGUAAUGGCCGAACGCUUCCCAAUCGUCCCCAUCGUCAGAGUGAAUCAGCGCGUGAAGAGUGAUUUUGGAAUCGGCAGAAGAACAAAUGAUUGCAUUGACUCACCGGGAUGGAUCACAGGUUCUGGCCAUGACUUUCUCAGGAUGUGCACAGUGGAUCCAGACUGAAUCCCAUAGGACUCCAGAGUCAAGUCAUCCUUUAACUUUCUACCACAGUACACUAAUUCUCCCUGACCCGUCGAGGCAUGGACUCCACUAGACCCCUGAAGGUGUGCUGUGGUAUCUGGCACCAAGAUGUUAGCAGCAGAUCCUUUAAGUCCUGUAAUGCUUAGGUAGGUGGUACGUGUCAAAGUAACAUCCACAUGGAUGGCAGGACCCAAGGUUUCCCAGCAGAACAUUGCCCAAAACAUCACACUGCCUCUGCCGGCUUGCUUUCUUCCCAAAGUGCAUCCUGGUGCCAUGUGUUCCCCAGGUAAGCGGCGCACAUGCACCCGGCCAUCCACGUGAUGUAAAAGAAAAUGUGAUUCAUCAGACCAGGCCACCUUCUUCUAUAGCUCCGUGGUCCAGUUCUGAUGCUCAUAUGCCCACUGUUGGUGCUUUCGGUGGUGGACGGGGCUCAGCAUGGGCACCCUGACUGGUCUGCGGCUAUGCAGCCCCAUGCGCAACAAACUGCGAUGCACUGUGUAUUCUGACACCUUUCUAUCAGAACCAGCAUUAACUUCUUGAGCAAUUUGAGCUACAGUAGCUCGUCUGUUGGAUCGGACCACACGGGCCAGCCUUUGCUCCCCACGUCCAUCAAUGAGCCUUGGCCGCCUAUGACCCUGUCGCCGGUUCACCACUGUUCCUUCCUUGGACCACUUUUGAUAGAUACUGACCACUGCAGACCGGGAACACCUCACAAGAGCUGCAGUUUUGGAGAUGCUCUGACUAGCCAUCACAAUUUGGCCCUUGUCAAACUCGCUCAAAUCCUUACGCUUGCCCAUUCUUCCUGCUUCUAACACAUCAACUUUGAGCACAAAAUGUUCACUUGCUGCCUAAUAUAUCCUGUGAUGAAGAGAUAAUCAGUGUUAUUCACUUCACUGUCAGUGGUCAUAAUGUUAUGCCUGAUUGGUAUAUAUAUAAAUGCAUUAUAUUAUAUAUUACAGACACUUUUUAAGCAAAAGACUAAUUUCCACCCUGUAAUGGACAAAUACAUAUAAUUGCCUGAUAGACUUCUAAUACAAACCUAAGAUAAUGUGUCCUUUAUUUUAUAUUAUAUAAGUUAUUGAUAAAGUGUGAUUUCACAUAAAUUGUAUUAAUAAAAAAAAUCUCACGAUUUCUGUUACUGUUUAACCAUGAAAUUGCAUCCUACUAGUAAGAUUUGCAGUUAAACUAUAAAGUAGCCAUUCUGAGUAGUCAUUACAUAUGACAAGCAAAAAGAAAUGUUACUACUAACAACUGGGAUAGACAGUGUGUCAUGAAUAGGUACCUGGAAUAGAUACUUGUAACUAUUAAGAUAGUGACUAGGAAACAAAUAGGGAACUAUUGAGCAGUUACCAGAAAAAUUGGAUUUGGUACCAACAGUUGGAAUAUUAGUAUUCACAUUAGAAUAGUUUGUAUCUGAACCACAGAAUUCCAAAGAAUUCACUACCAUUAUUAGUUAGCAAUAAUGAUUCUGAUUGGUCAAUAGCUGUGCUUUAUUCACGAUAAGCAACCACUCUUAGCAACGUAAACGGUUUGUUCUCAGUUGAUAUUGUUCAUUGAAGCUUACUGUAUUAUGUAGAAGAGUAUUGUGAGAUCGAGUGAGUGAGUUUAUUACCUGCAUUCAGAUUUAACAUUUUCCUUCAGGUCAGUCCUAUGUUCAUAAUAAAAAAAUAUCUGUUUAAAUGUCCGAUGCAAUAUCUUGUCCUUUUAACAGUUAAGGGGUUUUCCCGUGACUGACAGCGCUAGUCAAAGCAUUUGUCAGUUGCGUCUUGUUCCGUGUUCACAACAAUUCAGUCUUUUCAAUGUAAAA